rnacentral:lncRNA from 1 species
AUGAAGAAAAACUCUGAUCUCUGUGAAACAGACCCGGAGGCUGAAAGUUUAUUUACCACAAAACAGGUGAAGAUGACUUCUGACUGUGACAAACACACAAUAACAGUCUGUGUAAGUCAGUUAAACACACACCUCCAUCAUGUUUACCACAUCAUGUCUGUCACUGGCCUCCAACAAACAUCACUGACUCACUUCUUGAUGGAAACAUGUUGUGCAGUCAACCCACUGCUCUGUAAAAAUCACCUUUGUUCCAUCUAUGUGAGAUUGUACUUUUUUAAAUAUAAAUAACAGCUAUAAAUGAUCAUUUAUAAACAGCACAACACAUAUUUGAACAAGAGCUGAAAUGUCUGUUGUUUGUGUUUCACUUGUUUUAUCUUUGUUUUCUUCAGGUCUAUAGUCUUCAUACAGUUUCAUGAGCAUCUUUUCUUCUGAGGACAGCAGAUGAGCAUCUCAGUACAGAAAGAUGUUUGAGAACGAGACCAUGAUGGUCACAGACUUUUUUUUAGCUUCAAGCCAUGAAUCCAUCCAGUCGGAGGAUUUUUAAACACGAUUGAUAUUUUAAAUUGAUUUUAUAACUUUAUAACUGAACUAAUUGUGUAUCCUCCAGUUGUUUGUUGUGUUUUCCCUGUAAUUAUCUACAAAGUCAUCAAAUGUAUGAAGGCUAGUGUUUUAAAAUCUGAUCAGUUUCAUAUAGCAGAGGAACACACUUUUAUCAAACACUCAGACGCUUCGUCCUUUAAUCUUGAGUCUGUGUACAAAUCUUUCUGUUAUCCCUUUGACUUGACCUUUCAAAUAAUUUACAUCAUUUAUGUAGACACAAAUGUAAAGAUUAAUAAAGAAACCUUCAAAAUCACCUUCAUAUAUACAGUUCUUCACUGCAUACCACAUCAUUGUAGUUUAAAUGCAAUAUGAUAAGUUUUA